GUUAAGUUAGUUUAAUUCAAAACAUUAGCUUGUGGCGCUAAAAAUGAAAAUCAGUUUUACUUAGCC
rnacentral:tRNA from 1 species